AAAACGACUUCUCGGCCAACGGAUAUCUCGGCUCUCGCAUCGAUGAAGAACGUAGCGAAAUGCGAUACUUGUGUGAAUUGCAGAAUCCCGUGAACCAUCGAGUCUUUGACCGCAAGUUGCGCCCCCAAGCAAUUAGGCCGAGGGCACGUCUGCUGGGUGUCACGC
rnacentral:rRNA from 1 species